CAGGCAGAACAGGCAGCCGCCGCGUGGCAACACGGGGAGGAAAGUCCGGGCUGCACAGGGCAGGAUGCCAGCUAACGGCUGGGCGCGGUAACGCGACGGAAAGUGAAACAGAAAGCUAAACCGCCGACGGCUUCCGUAAGGAAGAUUCGGGCAAGGGUGAAAAGGUGCGGUAAGAGCGCACCGUGCCUCUGGUAACAGGGUGCAGCAGGUUAAACCCCAUCCGCAGCAAGACCAAACAGAACGCAUUGACGCGGCCCGCCGAGCGUUCGGGUAGGUUGCUUGAGCAUAUCGGCAACGGUAUGCCUAGAGGAAUGGCUGUCCGCGACAGAACCCGGCUUAUCGUUUUGCCUGCACC
rnacentral:RNase_P_RNA from 1 species